ACACCGGCGGCCCGAGUGGUGAUCGUGAUUAUUGGGUCUAAAGGGUCCGUAGCCGGUUUGGUCAGUCCUCCGGGAAAUCUGAUAGCUCAACUAUUAGGCUUUCGGGGGAUACUGCCAGACUUGGAACCGGGAGAGGUAAGAGGUACUACAGGGGUAGGAGUGAAAUCUUGUAAUCCCUGUGGGACCACCUGUGGCGAAGGCGUCUUACCAGAACGGGUUCGACGGUGAGGGACGAAAGCUGGGGGCACGAACCGGAUUAGAUACCCGGGUAGUCCCAGCCGUAAACGAUGCUCGCUAGGUGUCAGGCAUGGCGCGACCGUGUCUGGUGCCGCAGGGAAGCCGUGAAGCGAGCCACCUGGGAAGUACGGCCGCAAGGCUGAAACUCAAAGGAAUUGGCGGGG
rnacentral:rRNA from 1 species